rnacentral:rRNA from 1 species
CCUACGGGAGGCAGCAGUAGGGAAUAUUGCUCAAUGGCGGAAACCCUGAAGCAGCAACGCCGCGUGGGGGAUGACGGUCUUCGGAUUGUAAACUCCUUUUGUUAGAGAAGAUAAGGAAAGUAUCUAACGAAUAAGCACCGGCUAAAUCCGGGACAGCAGCCGCGGUAAGACGGAGGGUGCAAGCGUUACUCGGAAUCAAUGGGCGUAAAGAGCGCGUAGGGGGGAGAGAAAGUCCGGUGGUAAAUCGUAUGGCUUAACCAUAGAACUGCAGUUGAAACUGUUAUUCUAGAGUACGGGAGAGGUAGGUGGAAUGCGUGGUGUAGGGGUAAAAUCCGUAGAGAUCAAGAGGAAUACUCAUUGCGAAGGCGACCUGCUAGAACAUAACUGACGCUGAUGCGCGAAAGCGUGGGGAGCAAACAGGAUUAGAUACCCGGGUAGUC